rnacentral:rRNA from 1 species
UUAGAUACCCUACUAUGCUUGGUAGUAAAAGGCUGAAAAUUACCAUCCGCCCGCCAGAUUAUUACAAGUAAAAAACUUGAAACUCAAAGGACUUGACGGUGUUCCACACACGACCUAGAGGAGCCUGUCCUAUAAUCGAUGAUCCACGAUAGACCUUACCACCUUUUGCCAAACAGCCUAUAUACCGCCGUCGCAAGUUCACCCUUUGAAGGUAAUAAAGUGAACAUAAGAAUUCAACACUAAAACGACAGGUCAAGGUGUAGCUUACAAGGUGGCCAGAGAUGGGCUACAUUUCCUUUUAAAGGACACACGAAUGGCGUAAUGAAAAAAGCCUGAAGGAGGAUUUAGUAGUAAAACCGGAUUAACAAGCCCGUUUGAACACACCGCCCUGGAAUGCGUACACACCGCCCGUCACCCCCAUCAAUCUAAUGUAUACACUAAAUAAAAUGUACAAAACCAAAAGAUUGGGUAAGUCGUAACAAGG